rnacentral:rRNA from 1 species
GAUGAACGCUAGCGGCAGGCUUAAUACAUGCAAGUCGUGGGGCAGCAGGGGUAGCAAUACUCGCUGGCGACCGGCAAACGGGUGCGGAACACGUACGCAACCUUCCUUUAACUGGAGAAUAGCCCCUCGAAAGAGGGAUUAAUACUCCGUAACAUGUACAUGUGGCAUCACAAGUACAUUAUAGCUCCGGCGGUUAAAGAUGGGCGUGCGCCUGAUUAGAUAGNGGUCGGGGUAACGGCCCACCAAGUCUGCGAUCAGUAACUGGUGUGAGAGCACGACCAGUCACACGGGCACUGAGACACGGGCCCGACUCCUACGGGAGGCAGCAGUAAGGAAUAUUGGUCAAUGGACGCAAGUCUGAACCAGCCAUGCCGCGUGGAAGGAUUAAGG